AGGACGAACGCUGGCGGCGUGCUUAACACAUGCAAGUCGAGCGGUAAGGCCCUUUCGGGGGUACACGAGCGGCGAACGGGUGAGUAACACGUGGGUGACCUGCCCUUAGCUCUGGGAUAAGCCCGGGAAACCGGGUCUAAUACCGGAUACGAGACCGAGAGGCAUCUCUUGGUCUGGAAAGUUUUUCGGCUAGGGAUGGGCCCGCGGCCUAUCAGCUUGUUGGUGGGGUAAUGGCCUACCAAGGCGACGACGGGUAGCCGGCCUGAGAGGGCGACCGGCCACACUGGGACUGAGACACGGCCCAGACUCCUACGGGAGGCAGCAGUGGGGAAUAUUGCACAAUGGGCGAAAGCCUGAUGCAGCGACGCCGCGUGAGGGAUGACUGCCUUCGGGUUGUAAACCUCUUUCAGCAGGGACGAAGCGAAAGUGACGGUACCUGCAGAAGAGCACCGGCAACUACGCGCCAGCAGCCGC
rnacentral:rRNA from 1 species